rnacentral:misc_RNA from 1 species
GAAGAAGCAUAUUAAGCUUGUUGAAGGAGACGGGAAGAAAUUACACCAACAAUCCUAGUUCCCAAAAAUGCAGUUUUUGACAGAUUCUGUUCAGCUCGGUUUUAUUGAAAUUUUUCUUCAAAAACCGAACCGAAUAAACUGAUUUUCAAUAAUAAAAUCAAACCGAAUUAUCAAAUGGUUCAAUUUGGUCGAUUAUUUCAAUUUAAACAGAA